GACGAACGCUGGCGGCGUGCUUAACACAUGCAAGUCGAACGGAAAGGCCCUGCUUGUGUGGGGUGCUCGAGUGGCGAACGGGUGAGUAACACGUGAGUAACCUGCCCUUGACUUUGGGAUAACUUCAGGAAACUGGGGCUAAUACCGUAUAGGAGCUCCUGCUGCAUGGUGGGGGUUGGAAAGUUUCGGCGGUUGGGGAUGGACUCGCGGCUUAUCAGCUUGUUGGUGGGGUAGUGGCUUACCAAGGCUUUGACGGGUAGCCGGCCUGAGAGGGUGACCGGCGACAUUGGGACUGAGAUACGGACCAGACUCCUACGGGAGGCAGCAGUGGGGAAUAUUGCACAAUGGGCGGAAGCCUGAUGCAGCAACGCCGCGUGCGGGAUGACGGCCUUCGGGUUGUAAACAGCUUUCGCCUGUGACGAAGCGUGAGUGACGGUAAUGGGUAAAGAAGCACCGGCUAACUACGUG
rnacentral:rRNA from 1 species